UUUAAGGUCUGACCAAAGGACAAAGGUUCCUUGGUGUCAAAAUCUAAUGUAGGACACUUAUGUAACCUUUUAAUGUCGCUUGUAAAUGACCAAUUAAAUAAAAUUUAUAUUGUACCAAUCAAUGCUACCUAUACUACUAAGUGGUACAAGUGGCAAGACGAAGUCUAUCAUUAAAGGUAUGUCAUGAUUAUUGGAAAUGUAACACCCCAAGAUUUUUAAGGUAAUAUUUUAUUUUAAUUUUUAUAUCAAAUUACUUUUAUUUAAAGAUUUUUAGUUUAGAGGGUGGUAUUGCAUUUUAGGAUUUGUUUGGAAAGGAAAGAAAACAAGGAAACAAUUAUAUAUAGCAAAUAAUAAUAAUAGUUUGAAUAUAAUAUUAAUAAUUAUUAUUAUAAUUGUUUAUAAAAAAAAGAGAAGAAAAAUUAAAUUAUUUUCCCCCUUUCUUCUUCCUCGCGCGCGCAACCCCCCCCCCCCCCCCCCUCAUUUUCCCGUUUUUCUCCUUCUCCUUGCCCUAGCCGCCGGCCGCCUCUCCAUCCGCAAGCUGCGUUCGUGACGCCUAGCCGCUGCCGCCGGUCGUUUGCGAAGUAGUGGACCGCAAAAUCGUCCGCACGUCGUCUCUCCGUCUAUCCCGUUUCUAAGCCUCAUCGUCCACCGUUCGCAAGGCCGCCGACCGUUCACGCCGUCUCACCAUCACGAACGACUCUGUUCGUGAAGUUGUCAGCCGUUCGGGAAGUGGUGCGUCGUGAAGCUGCCUCUGCCUCCGUUCGCAAAUCUGAAGUCGCGCGCGUCCGUGUCUUCCAAUCGCACGUGUAACGCAACUUCACUUCUCCAACCAGGAUGGGUCACAUCCAAAUCUUCCUUUCGCAUGGGUCGAUUUCGCCUGUGCUAAGUUGCAAUUUCUACCCUACCACAGGAAGUAUUGGGUUUUAGUGUAAUUUUGUAAUUGUGAAUUUGAUGGUCUCCUUAUGAUUGAUUCGUUGAGAUGAAAUGUUAAAUUUAAACAAUUGGUUAAUAAUGUUCAAAUUGAGGCGGAGUUAGACCUCAUGUAAUCGCGACAAGUUUGUUUGGUGUUAAAUUCUCUAUUUAAAUUAGGAUUGGUGCGUUGGACUUUGUUAUCAAGAAACUUAGGAAAUCUUAAGAUAAUGGACUUUCUACUAGACUCAAUAACAAAAAUUAAGAUGUAUUGGUUGUAUGAACCGUAAUUUUAUAUAUGAACUGAGUAGGGAUGACGGUUAUGAUGUAUGUUUGGAUGUGGAUUUAAUGUUUAAUGUUUACUGGGUUUGACUGGGAGAAAUUUAUAUAUAUGUGCAUGGAUUGAUGUGGACUUGUGGUUGAAUGUAUGUUGUGACUCUCUGGUUAUGUAUAUGUACAAACAUAAGGAUGUGGAAAUGACUGAAUCUCGUACAUGUUGCUUAUAGACUGAGGAGGAGGUUAUGAUUAUUUAGUUUGUUAACUGAUGGAUUGAUAUGUUUUUGACUGACCUUGGGCUAAAUUAGAGUAAUACGACUGUUUGGGGUUAAAUGAGGAGUUUAUGUGAUGAAAAAGUUUAACUAAACUGUGAACGACUAUUAAGAUGUUUAGAAUGGACUGAGGGAAAAAUUAUUAGUUUUCCUAUUGGGUAGUUACCUUGCCGGUGUCCUACGGGAUCACCACCCUUUUGUGCAUCAUUCGAGAGCACUCGAUUGAUAUGUGCAUCCUUCGGGAGCACUAGACUAAUAUGUGUUUCUGCAGAACACUAGACUGAUAUGUACGUCCCUCGGGGCGUUAGACUGAUUAUAUGUAUUCUACGGGAUCACAAGACUGUGACUGUACAGGUAUACCCAAUAGGAAGUUAAGAGUUUAUUUUUCCCUAACAGGACCAGUAGUGGGUCUCUUACUGAGUAUAAUUAUACUCACUCUUUUAUGUUUAACUUUUUCAG
rnacentral:lncRNA from 1 species